GCGGCCGCCGUCAGCCCAGCCCUCCGUUGCUGCCUGAUCGCGGCCCGUUCGGCUAACCCGGUCCACUCCGAGCCGGCGGCGAGGACUCGGCGGCCACUUCAUCCUGGCCUGUAGUGCCUCGCGGUCCCCAAGCUCCUCCUCGCGGUCUCCGAAGCCUUGUGCCUGGCCUGGACGCUUUGCAGGGACCGGAGCGCGACCAAGAUACCUCCUGCUGCAGAGAGCGCUUUAAGCAAGGAAGGCUUUCCUUGGCUUCUGUCUGCAUUCCAUAAAAUACUCCUUGCCUUUUAGCUCUGCCUGCAGUUGAGCACAAAGACCUGAAGGAGACUCCCACAGCCUUCAGGGAGAAGAAAGGAGGCAGCCAAGGCUAUUAAAAGGAACUUGUGGCUUGUGGCCUUUUUGUGUAGGAGCAGUCUGGAAGGGGAGAAAAGUGCACCGAAGCCACAGUGGCGGUUAAUGAGCUGUGAGAUGAGGCGCAGCCGCGACUGACACUGCUUCCAGGAUC
rnacentral:lncRNA from 1 species